ACAGGCUCGGCCCAGAAAAUAGGUUCCAUUUGCAUAAAACCCUAAGCAGAAGUGAAAUGAAAACCAAAACCUCCAUUCGCCGCCGCCGCCGCCGCAAUCCUCUUGGAAAGCGAACGUCUACAAGAGUAACGGUGAAGUCGGAUUGUGGGCCCGGAAUCUGCUCGUUUGCAAUGAGACAUUUGUGAAAACUUUUAGCAAAUCUCAAUGGUCGGCUAUUAUGAUUGCUCGAUGAGAUUUUUUGGUGCGCUCGUAGAUUAAACUAGAAUACUUUCUUCAUCUUUUGGUUCACGUCUAUUCUCUUUUGUUAAGAUAGAUUGUAAUCAUCUCGCUCAUGUGCUUGCGAGCAAAAUUCUAUUUAUUUAGCGAAAUAUUAAAUUAUCGAACUAUUAAUUUAGUAGAUUAUUACCGA